rnacentral:lncRNA from 1 species
AAAAGAUCUUUACCAAUCCUACAACAUAUAGAGGCCUUAUAUCCAAAAUAUACAAAGAACUCAAGAAGUUAGACCGCAGGGAAACAAAUAACCCUAUUAAAAAAUGGUGUUCAGAGCUAAACAAAGAAUUCACAGCUGAGGAAUGCCGAAUGGCUGAGAAACACCUAAAGAAAUGUUCAACAUCUUUAGUCAUAAGGGAAAUGCAAAUCAAAACAACCCUGAGAUUUCACCUCACACCAGUGAGAAUGGCUAAGAUCAAAAACUCAGGUGACAGCAGAUGCUGGCGAGGAUGUGGAGAAAGAGGAACACUCCUCCAUUGUUGGUGGGAUGCAGACUGGUAAAACCAUUCUGGAAAUCAGUCUGGAGGUUCCUCAGAAAAUUGGACAUUGAACUGCCUGAGGAUCCAGCUAUACCUCUCUUGGGCAUAUACACAAAAGAUGCCUCAACAUAUAAAAGAGACACGUGCUCCACUAUGUUCAUCGCAGCCUUAUUUAUAAUAGCCAGAAAAUGGAAAGAACCCAGAUGCCCUUCAACAGAGGAAUGGAUACAGAAAAUGUGGUACAUCUACACAAUGGAAUAUUACUCAGCUAUCAAAAACAACAAGUU